CAGGUACAGCGGGAAGCCAUAUGGCGACAUAGAGCGGAACCCGAAAACCUGUCUCAGUUCGGAUUGGAGUCUGCAACCCGACUCCAUGAAGCUGGAUUCGCUAGUAAUCGCGCAUCAGCCACGGCGCGGUGAAUACGUUCCCGGGCCUUGUACACACCGCCCGUCAAGCCAUGGGAGCCGGGGGUACCUGAAGUGCGUGACCGCAAGGAGCGCCCUAAGGUAAAACCGGUGACUGGGGCUAAGUCGUAACAAGGUAGC
rnacentral:rRNA from 1 species